GGGGGGAGGCCGGAUCCUGGGCUGUGCCCCGGGGCCUGCGCUGUUGGAUUCGGGCUCCCGCCCCGCAGCCCCCU
rfam:Canis lupus familiaris chromosome 2, whole genome shotgun sequence.